rnacentral:rRNA from 1 species
AGUGUUUGAUCAUGGCUCAGGAUGAACGCUAGCGACAGGCCUAACACAUGCAAGUCGAGGGGCAACAUGGUAUCAGCUUGCUGAUACUGAUGGCGACCGGCGCACGGGUGAGUAACGCGUAUGUAAUCUACCUGUAACAGAGGGAUAACCCGGAGAAAUCCGGACUAAUACCUCAUAGCACAUAUUAUUCGCAUGAAUUUUAUGUUAAAGAGACUCGGUUACAGAUGAAC